GUCGAACGAACUCUGGUAUUGAUUGGUGCUUGCAUCAUGAUUUACAUUUGAGUGAGUGGCGAACUGGUGAGUAACACGUGGGAAACCUGCCCAGAAGCGGGGGAUAACACCUGGAAACAGAUGCUAAUACCGCAUAACAACUUGGACCGCAUGGUCCGAGUUUGAAAGAUGGCUUCGGCUAUCACUUUUGGAUGGUCCCGCGGCGUAUUAGCUAGAUGGUGGGGUAACGGCUCACCAUGGCAAUGAUACGUAGCCGACCUGAGAGGGUAAUCGGCCACAUUGGGACUGAGACACGGCCCAAACUCCUACGGGAGGCAGCAGUAGGGAAUCUUCCACAAUGGACGAAAGUCUGAUGGAGCAACGCCGCGUGAGUGAAGAAGGGUUUCGGCUCGUAAAACUCUGUUGUUAAAGAAGAACAUAUCUGAGAGUAACUGUUCAGGUAUUGACGGUAUUUAACCAGAAAGCCACGGCUAACUACGUGCCAGCAGCCGCGGUAAUACGUAGGUGGCAAGCGUUGUCCGGAUUUAUUGGGCGUAAAGCGAGCGCAGGCGGUUUUUUAAGUCUGAUGUGAAAGCCUUCGGCUCAACCGAAGAAGUGCAUCGGAAACUGGGAAACUUGAGUGCAGAAGAGGACAGUGGAACUCCAUGUGUAGCGGUGAAAUGCGUAGAUAUAUGGAAGAACACCAGUGGCGAAGGCGGCUGUCUGGUCUGUAACUGACGCUGAGGCUCGAAAGUAUGGGUAGCAAACAGGAUUAGAUACCCUGGUAGUCCAUACCGUAAACGAUGAAUGCUAAGUGUUGGAGGGUUUCCGCCCUUCAGUGCUGCAGCUAACGCAUUAAGCAUUCCGCCUGGGGAGUACGGCCGCAAGGCUGAAACUCAAAGGAAUUGACGGGGGCCCGCACAAGCGGUGGAGCAUGUGGUUUAAUUCGAAGCUACGCGAAGAACCUUACCAGGUCUUGACAUACUAUGCAAAUCUAAGAGAUUAGACGUUCCCUUCGGGGACAUGGAUACAGGUGGUGCAUGGUUGUCGUCAGCUCGUGUCGUGAGAUGUUGGGUUAAGUCCCGCAACGAGCGCAACCCUUAUUAUCAGUUGCCAGCAUUAAGUUGGGCACUCUGGUGAGACUGCCGGUGACAAACCGGAGGAAGGUGGGGAUGACGUCAAAUCAUCAUGCCCCUUAUGACCUGGGCUACACACGUGCUACAAUGGAUGGUACAACGAGUUGCGAACUCGCGAGAGUAAGCUAAUCUCUUAAAGCCAUUCUCAGUUCGGAUUGUAGGCUGCAACUCGCCUACAUGAAGUCGGAAUCGCUAGUAAUCGCGGAUCAGCAUGCCGCGGUGAAUACGUUCCCGGGCCUUGUACACACCGCCCGUCACACCAUGAGAGUUUGUAACACCCAAAGUCGGUGGG
rnacentral:rRNA from 2 species